GACGAACGCUGGCGGCGUGCUUAACACAUGCAAGUCGAACGGAAAGGCCCUGCUUUUGUGGGGUGCUCGAGUGGCGAACGGGUGAGUAACACGUGAGUAACCUGCCCUUGACUUUGGGAUAACUUCAGGAAACUGGGGCUAAUACCGGAUAGGAGCUCCUGCUGCAUGGUGGGGGUUGGAAAGUUUCGGCGGUUGGGGAUGGACUCGCGGCUUAUCAGCUUGUUGGUGGGGUAGUGGCUUACCAAGGCUUUGACGGGUAGCCGGCCUGAGAGGGUGACCGGCCACAUGGGGACUGAGAUACGGCCCAGACUCGUACGGGAGGCAGCAGUGGGGAAUAUUGAACAAUGGGCGGAAGCCUGAUGCGGAAACGCCGGGGGCGGGAUGCCGGCCUUCGGGUUGUAAACAGCUUUAGCCUGUGACGAAGCGUGAGUGACGGUAAUGGGUAAAGAAGCACCGGCUAACUACGUG
rnacentral:rRNA from 1 species